UACGUAGGGACCGAGCGUUGUCCGGAUUCAUUGGGCGUAAAGAGCUCGUAGGCGGCUGUUCAAGUCGAACGUGAAAACUCGGAGCUCAACUCCGAGCCUGCGUUCGAUACUGGACGGCUAGAGUCUGGUAGGGGGAUCGUGGAAUUCCUGGUGUGAGCGGUGGGAAUGACGCAGAUAUCAGGAGGAACACCAGUGGCGAAGGCGGCUCACUGGCCCGGUACUGACGCUGAGGCGCGAAAGCGUGGGGAGCAAACAGG
rnacentral:rRNA from 1 species